rnacentral:misc_RNA from 1 species
GAUGAAGAACGUAGCGAAAUGCGAUAAGUAGUGUGAAUUGCAGAAUUCAGUGAAUCAUCGAAUCUUUGAACGCACAUUGCGCCCCUCGGUAUUCCGUGGGGCAUGCCUGUUCGAGCGUCAUCUACACCCUCAAGCUCUGCUUGGUGUUGGGCGUCUGUCCCGCCUCCGCGCGUGGACUCGCCCCAAAUUCAUUGGCAGCGGUCCUUGCCUCCCCUCGCGCAGCACAUUGCGCUUCUCGAGGGGCUACGGCUCGCGUCCAACAAGCACAUUUACCGUCUUUGACCUCGGAUCAGGUAGGGAUACCCGCUGAACUUAAGCAUAUCAAUAAGCGGAGGA